rnacentral:rRNA from 1 species
GACGAACGCUGGCGGCGUGCUUAACACAUGCAAGUCGAACGGAAAGGCCCUGCUUUUGUGGGGUGCUCGAGUGGCGAACGGGUGAGUAACACGUGAGUAACCUGCCCUUGACUUUGGGAUAACUUCAGGAAACUGGGGCUAAUACCGGAUAGGAGCUCCUGCUGCAUGGUGGGGGUUGGAAAGUUUCGGCGGUUGGGGAUGGACUCGCGGCUUAUCAGCUUGUUGGUGGGGUAGUGGCUUACCAAGGCUUUGACGGGUAGCCGGCCUGAGAGGGUGACCGGCCACAUUGGGACUGCGAUACGGCGCAGACUCCUACGGGAGGCAGCAGUGGGGAAUAUGGCACAAUGGGCGGAAGCCUGAUGCAGCAACGCCGCGUGCGGGAUGACGGGCUUCGGGUUGUAAACCGCUGUCGCCUGUGACGAAGCGUGAGUGACGGUAAUGGGUAAAGAAGCACCGGCUAACUACGUG